rnacentral:lncRNA from 1 species
AGGUUAACCACAUUUAGGUUGCUUUUCACAGGAAGCUUCCAAGAAGACAAGAUUGAUGAGAAGUGUAGUUGCCAGAUUGACCAUCUUUAUACAGUGCAAGCUUUCUUCCUGGGGUAUUUUACUGCUUAUAUCUCAGUCUCACAGAGAACACUCCUGUGGAACCAUGAAAAGAUAAAGCAGAGGACAAUGCUUUUUGGUUUUAUGGUGGCAAGAACGAGCCAUUACAAGCGGACCAGACUGUGACAGGAAAGUGUUCUUGUUGUAUCAAAGGCAGCAAGCAGGCUGCUGCAAAGAAAAGCCAACAAAGCUGUUCAGAACUUUAUGAAUAAGAAUCUUUUUGUGUAUUUGGUUGUAAUAGCUGACRUAUAACACCUGUGAUUGUUUUGGAAAAAAGCUAAUAAGCUUGCUAUCAGAGCAUCUUUACAGAUCUGAAAUUGUUGGUCAGCUUGUAACAUAUGGAGCUUUAUCAUUCAGCUGUAUUAUUGAUUUUCCCCCUACUUUUUUUCAAAAGAUGCUUUUAAGCUCUAAUAAUCAACACAGAUAUCAUAAUGUCCUUAAUUUUCAGUCAUCUUUGAAAUAGACGCUUAGUUAUUAAGGAAACAUAGGCCUGUCUGAAAGUGAAGUCAACUAUUAAUUCUACUUGGCCUCCAAGGUCUCUUUGGGACCUAAGCCACCUACUCUUGCAGGGUUGGUCCAUCAGUCAUUCUUUCUUCUGUUUUUAAAGCUUUCCUAAAAAAGGAAUGAGACACCAGGAUACAAGUUCUACAAAGGUCUAUUAGAAAAGCUGCAUGUUUUGGAAGAAGAAUUUGUAUCCACUUAUAGCUGUGCUUGAAAUARGACUCUCUCCAAGCUGCACCGAAAGAAAAUGAUGGUCUCGUUAAGAAUGCAUCUUUCAGAAACCCAUUCAGGGCCUUAUCUCCUUCACCCCUGGGGACGGCCGAAGUAAAUCCAUCGGGAUCAAUAGUGUCACUGUGUGUUUGUAACUGAGAUUAAAAUCUAGCCCAAACGAUACACACAGUUUGUUAGGUCUGGCUACAAGGAGAUUUGUGCUGGAGGAGGAUUUUAAAAGUGGUCAUUAAGUGGGAUACUGCAGAAGUCUUGUGUCACACAGCACGAAAUUUUAUCGGCGCUACAAAAAUCGCAUAUUGUUUUAUGUAUUCUUGAGUGCCAUCUACUGACGCUUUAUGAGAACUCACUUUUUAAURUAGAAAAAUAAAUAAUAUAAGUGUAACA